CAGUUUACCUGUCUAUGAGAUGGGAGUACCUGUCAUCCCCUAUCUCUUAGGUAGGGUUAACUAAU
ensembl:miRNA